rnacentral:misc_RNA from 1 species
AAGUCGUAACAAGGUUUCCGUAGGUGAACCUGCGGAAGGAUCAUCAUCGAAUUCAUAUCCCCCUCCUCAACCGGAGGGGGACCCAUGAUAAACCCUUCUGUGCACCGUAAACCGUUCACUUUGGCAGGCUUUGGUGGUGAGCGUGAGCUCGCCUCCAACCUCGCGUUCCCUCCCUAGGGGUGUUACGCGUGGCGGCCUGCCGGAGUCCCAUUAAAAAACUCGUUUUUGAACACGUCUGAAAAUUUCCUUUGAGAAAUCAAAGAACCGAAAACAACUUUCAACAACGGAUCUCUUGGCUCUC